rfam:Ciona savignyi cont_30656, whole genome shotgun sequence.
UACCUGGUUGAUCCUGCCAGUAGUCAUAUGCUUGUCUCAAAGAUUAAGCCAUGCAAGUCUAAGUACGAGCUCUCGUACAGUGAAACUGCGAAUGGCUCAUUAAAUCAGUUAUGGUUCAUUUGAUCGUACAGUUUACUUGGAUAACUGUGGUAAUUCUAGAGCUAAUACAUGCGAGAAGCGCCGACCUCGCGGGAGGCGUGCAUUUAUCAGACCAAAAACCGGCCGCGUCUUCGGGCGCGUUCGCCUUGGUGACUCUGGAUAACUUUGCGGAUCGCACGGUCUAGCACCGGCGACGGAUCAUUCAAGUGUCUGCCCUAUCAACUUUCGUCGGUACGGUAUUUGCCUACCGAGGUUCUUACGGGUGACGGGGAAUC